ACUCCUACGGGAGGCAGCAGUGGGGAAUUUUGGACAAUGGGGGCAACCCUGAUCCAGCAAUGCCGCGUGAGUGAAGAAGGCCUUCGGGUUGUAAAGCUCUUUUGUCAGGGAAGAAACGGUGGUGGCGAAUAACUACUACUAAUGACGGUACCUGAAGAAUAAGCACCGGCUAACUACGUGCCAGCAGCCGCGGUAAUACGUAGGGUGCAAGCGUUAAUCGGAAUUACUGGGCGUAAAGCGUGCGCAGGCGGUUGUGUAAGUCAGAUGUGAAAUCCCCGGGCUCAACCUGGGAAUUGCAUUUGAGACUGCACGGCUAGAGUGUGUCAGAGGGGGGUAGAAUUCCACGUGUAGCAGUGAAAUGCGUAGAUAUGUGGAGGAAUACCGAUGGCGAAGGCAGCCCCCUGGGAUAACACUGACGCUCAUGCACGAAAGCGUGGGGAGCAAACAGGAUUAGAUACCCUUGUAGUCCCA
rnacentral:rRNA from 1 species